UGCCCAAGGGAACGAGUGAAGCUGCCAGCAUGAUCUAGCUCUGAGUGAUCACCCGAAAAAGAACAAUAGUUCUAGGUGGUCAUGCCUUGCUAGGUCAUGCUGCUGCAGCCUCACUUCUUCCCGUCGUUGGGCA
rnacentral:pre_miRNA from 1 species